rnacentral:rRNA from 1 species
UACAGAGGGUGCGAGCGUUAAUCGGAAUUACUGGGCGUAAAGCGUGCGCAGGCGGUUUUGUAAGUCUGUCGUGAAAUCCCCGGGCUUAACCUGGGAAUUGCGAUGGAGACUGCAAGGCUAGAAUCUGGCAGAGGGGGGUAGAAUUCCACGUGUAGCAGUGAAAUGCGUAGAGAUGUGGAGGAAUACCGAUGGCGAAGGCAGCCCCCUGGGAUAAUACUGACGCUCAUGCACGAAAGCGUGGGGAGCAAACAGG